CCUACGGGAGGCAGCAGUGGGGGAUAUUGCACAAUGGGGGAAACCCUGAUGCAGCGACGCCGCGUGAGUGACGAAGGUUUUCGGAUUGUACAGCUCUGUUCUUGGUGAAGAAAAUGACGUUAGCUGAGGAGAAAGCUCCGGCUAACUACGUGCCAGCAGCCGCGGUAAUACGUAGGGGGCGAGCGUUUUACGGAUUUACUGGGUGUAAAGGGUGCGUAGGCGGCCUUGCAAGUCUGGAGUGAAAACCCUGGGCUUAACCCUGGGACUGCUUUUGAAACUGUGAGGCUUGAGUGAAGGAGAGGUAAGCGGAAUUCCCAGUGUAGCGGUGAAAUGCGUAGAGAUUAGGAGGAACACCAUGGGCGAAGGCGGCUUACUGGGCUUUAACUGACGUUGAGGCACGAAAGCAUGGGGAGCAAACAGGAUUAGAUACCCGAGUAGUC
rnacentral:rRNA from 1 species